AGUGGAAUUGCUGGGUCAUAUGGUUAUUCAAUGUUUUACUUUUUAAGGAACUACCAGACUGCUUUCCAAAGCUGCUUCACCAUUUUACAACCCUACCAGCAAU
rnacentral:pre_miRNA from 1 species